rnacentral:rRNA from 1 species
GACGAACGCUGGCGGCGUGCUUAACACAUGCAAGUCGAACGAAGUGGCGAACGGGUGAGUAACGCGUAAUCAACCUGCCCUUCAGAGGGGGACAACAGUGGGAAACGACUGCUAAUACCGCAUACUGGAGAGGGGGAUUGCGUCUGAUUAGCGAGUUGGAGGGGUAAGUGCCCACCAAGGCGAUGCUCAGUAGCCGCUCUGCAGGGAUGAACGGCCACAUUGGGACUGAGACACGGCCCAGACGCCUACGGGAGGCAGCAGUGGGGAAUCUUCCGCAAUGGACGAAAGUCUGACGGAGCAACGCCGCGUGAGUGAUGACGGCCUUCGGGUUGUAAAGCUCUGUUAAUCGGGACGCGGUACCGGAAUAGAAAGCCACGGCUAACUACGUGCCAGCCGCCGCGGUAAUUC